AUACAUGCAAGUCGAACGCUUCUUUCCUCCCGAGUGCUUGCGCUCAAUUGGAAAGAGGAGUGGCGGACGGGUGAGUAACACGUGGGUAACCUACCCAUCAGAGGGGGAUAACACUUGGAAACAGGUGCUAAUACCGCAUAACAGUUUAUGCCGCAUGGCAUAAGAGUGAAAGGCGCUUUCGGGUGUCGCUGAUGGAUGGACCCGCGGUGCAUUAGCUAGUUGGUGAGGUAACGGCUCACCAAGGCCACGAUGCAUAGCCGACCUGAGAGGGUGAUCGGCCACACUGGGACUGAGACACGGCCCAGACUCCUACGGGAGGCAGCAGUAGGGAAUCUUCGGCAAUGGACGAAAGUCUGACCGAGCAACGCCGCGUGAGUGAAGAAGGUUUUCGGAUCGUAAACCUCUGUCCUCUGUGAAGA
rnacentral:rRNA from 1 species